CAGACCUUAGACACUGAGCUGAGCUGAGCUGAGCAGAGAGGCACACUCAGAGAGAGAGAGAUGAGCCACAUGCCUCCCCGAAGCCUGUUCUGUGUGUUGGUGGCCCUGGCCUUCUCUGAAUCCUGUCUAGCACAAAAAGCAACUCAAGUACAAUCAGCUAUAAUCAAGCGGGAGGGGGAAGAGGUCACCUUGGACUGUUCCUAUGAAACAAGUAAGAAUUUUUACCAACUUUACUGGUACAAACAGCUUCCUAGAGGAGACAUGAUUUUCCUUAUUCGUCAAAUUUCAUCUACUCAUCACAACGAAACAAGUGGUCGCUAUUCUGUCGUCUUCCGGAAGUCAGCCCAGUCCAUCAGCCUCAUCAUUGCAGCCUCACGGGUGGAGGAUUCAAUGAACUAUUUCUGUGCUCUCGGGGAGCCAGCUCACAGUGAUUGAAGUGAUAGUACAAGCUGAACAAAAACUGGGGCUUCUUAAGCAUCAUCCAUCUCAGGAGCCCAGCUGAGAAUCGCACCUGCACAUCCUGAACAAGAAGGUCCCAACCACGCUACUUUCUUUCUAAGAAAAAUGCACUUCUAUAAAAUGUAGCCGCCCUCUGUCGGAUUUAGGGUUGGUGAAGAUCCUUUCCCAAUCUGUUGGUUGACGUUUUUGUCCUUUUGACAGUGUCCUUUGCCUUACAGAAACUUUGUAAUUUUAUGAGGUCCCAUUUGUCAAUUCUUGAUCUUAAAGCAUAAGCUAUUGGUGUUCUAUUCAGGAACUUUUCCCCUGUGCCCAUGUCCUCAAGGGUCUUCCCCAGUUUCUUUUCUAUUAGUUUCAGUGUGUCUGGUUUUAUGUGGAGGUCCUUGAUCCACUUGGAGUUGAGUUUAGUACAAGGAGAUAAGAAUGGGUCAACUCACCUUCUUCUGCAUGCUGACCUCCAGUUGAACCAGCACCAUUUGUUGAAAAGGCUAUCUUUUUUCAACUGGAUGUUUUCAGCUCCAUUGUUGAAGAUCAAGUGACCAUAGGUGUGUGGGUUCAUUUCUGGGUCUUCAAUCCUAUUCCAUUGAUCCACUUGCCUGUCAUUGUACCAAUACCAUGCAGUUUUUAACACUAUCAUUCUCUAGUAAUGUUUGAGGUCGGGGGUACUGAUUCCCCCAGAAGUUCUUUUACUGUUGAGAAUAGUUUAGCUAUCCUGGGUUUUUUUGUUAUUCCAGAUGAAUUUGAGAAUUGUUCUUUCUAACUCUAUGAAGAACUGAGUUGGGAUUUUGAUGGGGAUUGCAUUGAAUCUGUAGAUUGCUUUUGGCAAGAUGGCCAUUGUAACUAUAUUAAUCCUGCUAAUUCACAAGCAUGGAAGAUUUUUCCAUUUUCUGAGGUCUUCUUCGAUUUCCUUCUCCAGAGAGCUGAAGUUCUUGUUAUAUAGGUCUUUCACUUGUUUGGUUAGAAUUAUCCCAAUAUACUUUAUGCUGUUUGUGGCUAUUGUGAAGGAUUUUAUUUCCCUAAUUUCUUUCUCA